CACUUCAUAUUGAUUAAUCUCAAUUAUUAAUAUAUUUAUUCGACCAUCAUGAGAGUGCACAUUUAUUGUACAUUUGCUAUAGUUUUACUUGCUAGCAUUUUGGACCAUGUCAUGACCCAGGAUUCUCCGGGUGAUGGCCGUAUAGAUUGCAAUAAUGACGAAGAGUGCGAUGACGUCUGCCGUUUAACCUGUCAUCUAUCUGUGCCUUUCUGCAAUGGUGCUUGUUGGUGUGCUCCACAAGCGCAUUAAAAUGAAUUUUACGCUCUCGGUGCAGGCUUUGUAACCUGCGUCAACGGCCGGAAUGCCGACCCGUCUGCGAAGCAAGCUGUGCUGUACCAUUUCAGGCUAUCUGCUAUCUGCUAUAGUAUAUGCUGGUGUGUCCACUCACUCCACGUCGAUCCCCGAGAUCAGCUGA